GAUGAACGCUGGCGGCGCGCCUAACACAUGCAAGUCGAACGGUUAAAGCCCCUUCGGGGGUGCAUAGAGUGGCGAACGGCUGAGUAACACGUGGGCAACCUGCCCCCCGCACCGGGACAGCCUCGGGAAACCGUGGUUAAUACCGGAUACUCCGCCACCCCCGCAUGGGGGCGGCGGGAAAGCCCAGGCGGAGGGGGAUGGGCCCGCGGCCUGUUAGCUCGUUGGCGGGGUAACGGCCCACCAAGGCGAUGAUGGGUAGCCGGGUUGAGAGACCGACCGGCCAGAUUGGGACUGAGACACGGCCCAGACUCCUACGGGAGGCAGCAGUGGGGAAUCUUGCAUAAUGGGCGAAAGCCUGAUGCAGCGACGCCGCGUGCGGGACGAAGGCCUUCGGGUCGUAAACCGCUUUCAGCAGGGACGAGG
rnacentral:rRNA from 1 species